UUCGCAAUGCCCGAAAGGGUGACGAAGCGACGCCGCGUGGAUGAAGAAGGCCUUCGGGUUGUAAAACCCUGUCAGGAGUUAUGAAAUGUAAGUACGCUAAUAUCGUGCUUAUUUGACAAAGGCUCCAAAGGAAGCCACGGCUAACUCUGUGCCAGCAGCCGCGGUAAUACAGAGGUGGCGAGCGUUGUUCGGAAUUAUUGGGCGUAAAGAGCACGUAGGUGGGUUUGCAAGUCAGAUGUGAAAGCCUUCUGUUCAACGGGAGAAUUGCAUCUGAAACUGCUAAUCUUGAGUAUAGGAGGGGAGAAUGGAACUUCUGGUGGAGCGGUGAAAUGCGUAGAUAUCAGAAGGAACGCCGGCGGCGAAAGCGAUUCUCUGGCCUAUUACUGACACUCAGUGUGCGAAAGCUAGGGGAGCAAACGGGAUUAGAUACCCCGGUAGUCCUAGCCGUAAACGAUGGGCACUAAGUAGA
rnacentral:rRNA from 1 species